UGCGCCGCCGUGCUUCACCCUCGCCUCGUCACGAAGGAGUCAUCGCCAUUAGCAUCAUCGGAAUGUCGUUGGAACCGUUGCAAGACGUUUGAACGGUCUCCGCGCUCGCUCGUCCAUUUGUGAACAAAGGAGGCCGUGAUUUUGCGUCGUAUGGGCGGCUGCAGUGUUGCGUCCCGUCAGGCCUUGAAAGAAGGAAGGAGGAUAUGAUUUUGCGUCGUAAUGGGUUUUUGUUGUUUGUUCGGAGCAGCGGCUGCAGUGUUGCGUCCCGUCAGGCUCUACUUUGUUGAACACUAAGCUGGGUGAACCAACUUUGUUGUUGCUAUGACCGUAUUACUCAGUUUUACUCACUUGUGUUUGAACGUUACUAAUUUGCGAUUGCACGCCCUAUUUCAGACACAUAUCUCUCCAGCGCUUCAGAGACGUCGCUGGCGCCGAAAUUCUAGCUGUUUCACCGUGGGUCGCCAGAAGAACAGCAGAUCAUUGACUGUCAAUUGUGCGACGCGACACUAUGUGGCACGAAGGAUGUGUACGUGUGAAAUACGUAACUACUGUGUGCGCGGGAUGUUUUGUAUGAUUGUGUCGACACUGGAUACCACUUUCAAGGUAUGCAUUUUCGGAAUAAAGUAGAUACAUAUAUAAUUUUGCAGUACUUCAUUUCGUGUAUUUUAUGCGUGUUGCGAGUAAGUGAACAUAUGCACUCUUAAAGA